AAGAGGGGAGAAGUGAGAGGUGAGAUCGAAUGAAAGUCAUUAUGGGGAGUCAUCAUUUUCUGGGGAGUAUCUGUAUCUACUGGAGAUGUCCCUGCUGUUCAGGCAUUUGCGCCAACCCUGUACUAACACCUGAUUCAACUAAUUACAUACCCAACCAUCACCUUUGUCUCAAGACGUCUUAAGAAACACUCAAUGCCAUCUCGAGACAUGUUAUGGGUAUCAAGACAUGUCUCAAGACACUAAUGUAAAAGAUUUUGUCUUUAUAUAGUCUUUAUUUUGGAAUGUUUAACAUUUCAAAUUCAUGGAACAUUCUACUGACAGUUGAUAUAAGACUCAAAUGGUAGUCUGUCAAACCUGGAAGAUUUACAAACUGUUCUUUUCAACUUGAGGAAAGCAAGCAAAGCAUUUUAAUAUGUAAUGUACGUUAGCUAAAAUAAUAUUUAGUCAAUAUGAAGAAAUAUGUUAGACAUCUUGUUUUGGCACUACCAAAUGUGAUAUUGUGCAGACUCUGGUUAGCUAGCUAACAACUGUCAUUAGCUAGCAAGUAUAGUUAAAAAAAACGAUGGUUAAAUCUCUAAAUGCAUGCAUGAUUCUUUUUUUCAGUUGCCCAUGGAGUCCAUGGGGGWUCAUAAAGAGGGGACGGGAUGAUGUCAAAUGUCUCAACCUCGAUGAUCGUUCAGCCAUCCCCACCGAUCAUCUUAAGAUGUCUCAAGACAAAGUUGACCUACUCUCAUUAACAGGCCCUGCCAACCUCACGUGCUGCAGAGUAGACUGGACUUAUGCUGACCUUUACGCAUGGUUAGGCUGACGAGGAUACGAGGAUGGAAGACAUGUCAGCAACUCAA